rnacentral:rRNA from 1 species
UCAGGAUGAAUGCUAGCUACAGGCUAACACAUGCAAGUCGAGGGGCAGCAUUGGGAUAGCUUGCAUUCAGAUGGCGACCGGCGCACGGGUGAGUAACGCGUAUCCAACCUUCCUGCCAGUAGGGAACAGCCCGGCGAAAGUCGGAUUAAUGCCCUAUGUUCUUCAAUGCGGACAUCUAAGUUGAAGGAAAGAUUCAUCGCUGGCAGAUGGGGAUGCGUCCGAUUAGCUUGCCGGCGGGUAACGGCCCACCGGGGCGACGAUCGGUAGGGGUUCUGAGAGGAAGGUCCCCCACACUGGUACUGAGACACGGACCAGACUCCUACGGGAGGCAGCAGUGAGGAAUAUUGGUCAAUGGGCGUAAGCCUGAACCAGCCAAGUAGCGUGACAGGAUGACGGCCCUACGGGUUGUAAACUGCUUUUAUGCGGGGAUAAAGUGCGGCACGUGUGCCGCUUUGCAGGUACCGCAUGAAUAAGGACCCGGCUAAUUCCGUGCCAGCCGCCGC